UAAAAUAAGAGAGCCUAUGAAUAAGAAGGAAGCAGCUGUCAGGGACGUAGAAGCAGAACCAAGAGAAUAUAGUGGGAAAGAUCAUUAAAGAGGUUGGGGGCCCAUGCUGCUGGAGGCUUUAGUAAUAUAGACAUGGAAAAACUUCCAUUCACUUCUCAAUUCACUUCUUCUUCCAUUCACUCUCAAAGUCAUUGGUAGGCCCAUCAAAAAUAACUCCCCAAAACAUGGACCAGUAGAAAGGGGCAGAAGCCACGGGGCAUUAGUCUUAGGAACAAACGGGAGAUGGCCAAGUGGGGGAGAGAGUGAAGACAGUCUAGAAGGGGUUAUGGAAGAACACCACCCCACCCCCAAGGAGAGCAGCAGAGGAUCAGGAACCCAUGCGAGAAGACAUUUGUUAAGAAAUCAAAUCCAGAGGCAUGACUUGUAGUUCCAGAUGUCCCAGAAGACAGAAACUUGUGGAUUCCUUGAUCAUGACAGCAUUGAAAUUCUGAGCUCAUCUAGGGGCCAAGAGGAGGCAGUGGGCUUUUCUUAUCACGUGAGUGUGAGUAGCUUCUCUUCCCACUGCUGAGUUCUCCAGAGAGCUACCACUUGGCAAACAGAAUAGCAUACUUAUCAUGAAGCUUCAUCCUCACCUGUUGCAUUAAGCUGCAUUGUCUUCAAGCCUCUUACCUCCUCAUGCAUGUGACUUCUAGGGGACUCAAGUUCAUGUGAAUUUUAUCAGUAAAUUUUUUAAAAAAUAAUAAUGUGUAUUAAUAUUUCUAAUAGGUUAUUAAUAAAGCCACACUCUCUCUAAAAUGAUUGUUUUAUGCCAUCAAACAAAUCCAUAUGGAGGUUUCUUUCAGUGUUAAGCUUCAGUCUACUUGUCUUAUGGUUUUACUGAUAUUACUUUAGCACAGGCUAAGAGUUGACAGAAAAAAAUGUAAUCCAUUCCCAAGCUAGAAUCCAGGCAGGUAAAAUCUCUCAUGUCAGAUUUCAGACACUCUAUCCACAUGAACAAUAGAAUGAAAAGGAAAAAAAGGUCUGUGGUCUUAUGGUUCACAGUAGUAUUUGGAAGAAAAGAUGCAUAUUGAAUGAAUGUAAGACAAAUAUUAGGUGGUGUUUGCAUAAUUGAUAGAAUGGAACUGUGUAAGAUUCUGAACUUAUUAAAUGGAAAUAUCUAUUUUGGCCCAUCCAAGAGAAAUGCUUCCAGAAGAAAAUGCUUGAUACAGCAACAGAGGAGUGAUGACAUUCAUGUGACUAUGACGCGACCUUUAUUGAGAGAAUAAAAGGCACCAAAUGGUGAUUACAGAUGAAUUACUCCAUAGCCUGGGAUUUUCAAGAGGAAUCUUAUUUCUGAAUCUUGAGACAGUGAGGCCAAAGGGACAUAUCUGUUUCUAUUAUUAGGAAGAAAGUGAAUCUCAGAAUGAAAAACAAUCUGUGGCUUCAAAGAGAAAGAGCUGACAGCAAAAUAUUUGAAUUAAUUAGAGAAAUAUAGGGUUGUUCAUUCGUGGGUAGUUUUUGUAGGCAUAUUUCAAAACAUCUGUGCUUGUUUCCACGGAGAUGGUGGCUGGUUUAUUUUGUUGUUAAUAUACCAUAUGGGCAUGAAAGAUAUUAGAGGAUGCUACCUAAUGGAAAACUAAGUAUAGACAUUUCCAGACUGUCUGAGAGAAGUUACAACCUCCAGAUCUAGGCAGAGGAUGAUUCAACAGUUGACGAACUAUGCCAAGUUCAAUGAACAUUGGCUAUUUUCUGAAUACUUAUAGCCUUCUUAGAAAUGAUACCAGAAAAUAUUAGUCUUGAUGCCCAUUGGAUGGGGGAAAUCAAGUUUGAAGGGUGCCAAAAAAUAAAAAUAAGUUUAUCCCUUUGAAAUUUUUAAGAAAUAAUAAAGCCAGCUCAGAAUCUAAACACCUUCUGUGAAAGGCUCAAAUGCCUAAGAUUUUGUUUUCUUAUAUGGACCUUCCACUGUUUCGCUCAAGGCCACCAUUCUCCAUUAUUUUCUAUUUCCCUCUAAAGCAGAGAUGUCCUUAUGUACAUUGGGUUAUGACUUUCCCACCUAAAUUUCUAUCAAGGUGGAGAAAGUAGAAAAGAUAAGUUAGACGCAGUUUUAAUACCUUGAACUGUUUCUCUUAUUUAUUUGUUUCAUAUUCUUUUCUUCUGUCACAACCUCCCCUUUCACUAACCGUGCCUCUUCAACUUUGGCAAUGGAGUAUAUCAAUGAAGUAUAUCACUGAAGUACAGUGCAGUGUAGUUCAGUAUGAUGAAGGAUAUCAAUGAAGCCAAGCCCUUUUUGCUUGAGAGCAUGCAGAGUUGAAGAGGAUGGAACUUUAAGUUCUAUGCUUUGGUAUGUUCAUUCAAAUUUCAGUUUAUUUCUGGACUUCAUAGUUUCCUCAGGCUAGUGAGCUUACAUCUGCAUAACAUCAUUUAUUUAUACUAUUAGCCCAUAUGAAUAUACUGUUCCAAGUUGCACCAAUUACUCGUUGUAGAAUUUCCCAUGAGAUGGGCAGGUAUCUACAGAUGGCAGACACUUUUGGGUUGUCUCAUAUCUAAUUAGCAGCAGAAUGAUGGUACCACAUUAAUUUUAAGAACGGCUCUUGAAAUGCCAGUAGUAAUAAAGGUCUGGGAAUCUGACAUUGUGCUGUUUAGAGAAAUGGAAGUUUCUCAACAUUAGAAUUAAUCUCAAAGUGUCAUUUUAUAAAAAGCAAUACCUCAACUAUAAAUGGCUUUUAAGUUAUUUUUCAAUUAUUUUCUUUUCAAACAUCCCGUAAUGUAGUUAAUGUUCAUAUUAACUUUGUUGUCUACAAGUUUACUUCUCAUAUUUGAAAUACCCUGGGACCAGCUCAGUGGGUGACAAGAGGAAGAGAAUAUAAAAUGAAAUAUCAAAUACGAGGGUAAACUAGUCCAAACUCGGCACUGGUUUUCCAUCAAAUUCCCAAACAUACAGAUGGAUGGAGAAAAUGUAAUUGAUCAAAAGAAAUAUUUAUGGAACCGAUGGAUUUUUAACUUCUCAACCAUAUUGAACUGUUAUAUGUCAAUAAAUCUUGGAGAAGGUUUUCUUGAAGGGUCAUGAUGACAUAGUUCAAUAAAUAGAGCAGAAGACUAUGUGCCAGGAAAUUUGGUUGUGUCCUAGUUUCGCCUCUCACUGGAUUCAAAAUAUUUAUUUUUUAUGAAUAAUGAUGCUAUUUUCCAAAUACAUGUUAGCUAAACUAAAAGAAACAAGGAUAAAACAGUACAUAAAAAUAACAUAUUUCACACAUACAAUAUGCCAGAUAUUAUAUAGCACUUGGACAUUUUUAUCUUUUGAAAAAUUCUACAAAGUGAAUAUUAUCUUUAUCCUCACUUUUCUAACGAAGAAACUGAAACACAAGAAGGUAACGCACUUGCAUAAGGAGAUGUACAUGGUAAGGGAUGGACUCAGGAUUUGAACCCUGUCUCCAGAGUCUAUGCCAUUAGCCACUACAUUUCUCAGCCCCCUGUAAAAGGGCAGAAAGACUGAUCAGAAAUUCACAUCAAACUAUCCCUUUUAUUUUUACUUUAUGGAUUAUUACAUUUAACUGUACUUGAAUUUAACAGAAUCAAAAUGAAUUACAGUAAAACUAUGGAAUUGUUAAAAUGCAGGCACAUCUUUCUUCAUCAUGAGAGAUAGGAAUGGUUCCUAAAAGUGUCUCCGAAAUUUAAGUAAAAAGGAGGUCAUGACAUCAUUAAGAGGUGAGCAUAUGUUUGUUAUUUUAGUAUAUAUCAAUGGACUCCCUGUCAUGAACGAAGAGGGAAUAAAUAUGCUUUGUUACUCUCACUCCCUAUCUUGAUUUUAUGUUUAUUAUAUAUUAUUAUUUGUUGCACAUAAAUUCUGUUUUAUAAGUGUGAUUCCCAGAGUGAUUUAAACCUAAGGCUCUGUUUAAAAGCAGUGAAUGCUCAUCCCCACUGUUUAUCUGUUCCGUUCCUGAGUAACUUACUUUGAUGUCACUCUUUUGACUGGAACUCAUCUAUGAGUAGUAUUCUUUUUCAAGAGCUCUUUGGUGUUAUAGUCCCUGAAUCCUGAAUUCUUUCAUGCUUGAGAAUCUGUCCUUGCCUUUCUACUUGUGUGAAAGCUUGGCUCAUAGAAAGUACGCGGUUACACUUUCCUCUCUCCCCUCCCCCACCCCCACUGUCAGAGUUUGUUUUUUUUUUUAAUAUUAACUUACUGUUUUCCAGCAGUGAAUGUAGUUGGGGAGAAUUCUGAAAUCAAUCUGAUAUUUUCUCUUUUUUUGAGGGGUGAUUUACUUUUCAGCCUGCAUGCCUGUAUAAUUCUUUAUUCCUGAAUUUAUUCCAAUUAUUUUUCUCCCAGACACUGUGCACUUUCAAUCUGCAUUUUAACAAAUUUAUUCCAGGAAAUUUCCUCCUACUAUAUCUUUCAACAUAUUUUGUCAGGUCCACUGUUCUGUUCAUAUGUUGGAUCUUUGUGUCAUAUAACCAUAUAUUCCCCAUCAUGAUUUUUAUGUCUUCAUUCUUUUUUUAAGUUUGCAUUGAGAGGCCAAGAGGAAAGGUUUCAGUUAUACUUGUUUUAUUUUCCAUUGUUUCUACUGUGCUUUUUUAUCUCUCGAGUCUUUUUUCCUUUAUGCUUCUUUGGCUUCUCUGUGCACAGCCAGCUUGCUUUUUGUCUCCGGGUGUUGUCUUAUAAUCUCUCCUUUGAAUCCUUGAGUCUCUUCUUUGAGCUUUACUUUAAAAGAAAUAAGGUAAUAAAUCAUGUUGCCUGUGACUACUCUGAGGCUAUGAAAUGCCAUUUUUCUGAAUUUUCCUUACACUUUUUAAAUGAGUAAGGCUUCUUUUUAGUCAUACUUCUUCUUUCCUCCAACUUUUGCUUAUGUUUCUUUCCUUUGUAUGUUUCCGCCCAGUGCCUGUGCAUAGGUCCUAUGCUGACUGCUCCUGUGUUAUGGAGAGGGGAAUGAAACUGGAAGAAUCUGCAGCUCUUCCUGGACUUGGUUGUUCCAAACUUCUCAUCAAAUUAGACACUGUUAGUACAUCUUCCUUCACUUUCCUUCCUUUGCUCUAGGAGUACGUUUCCUCAGUUUUGACCAUCUAGGAGCCGGUAACAUCUUUGAGAUGACACGCCUACCUGUUCCGGACUAUUCUCCCUUCACCCGUCAUUCUCUAUAUGCUAGGUGGUUGGGUCAUAGUCAAGUAGAAAUGUUGUUACUGGAGUGUAUUCCCCUUCCGCUCCACCUCCCCUGAAAUUUUGUGGUACCUAGAGGGAUACUUCCAAUUCUUCCAAACAGCGACAGUGAUCCUAAAGCUCCAACAUCUAAUCAGAGGCCCUUUGAUAGGGCCAUCGUGGCUGCUGAACUUAAUUCUGUCUUCUCCUCAAGAUCUGAGGGUACAUGUGUGGCCCUGAGUGGCUUCCCCUGUUUUAGGGUAGAUUUCACAUUAUUUGGAAGAUAGACUUCAAAGAGAAUGUGAGUUUGGGUUAUGGCCAUUGCUUUAUUUCAUUGAGGAUGGUAUUUUUCUACGACAGUCAUGCGUCGCUUGACUAUGACAUGUUCUGACAAACGUGUCAUUAGGCAAUUUCAUUGUUAUGCAAACAUCAUAGAGCACUUACACACAUCUAGAUGGUAGAGCCCACUGCACCCCUAGCAUCUAUGGUACAAAUCUUAUGGGACUGCUGUUAUAUAUGAGAUCCAUUGUUGACCGAAAUGUCAUUUUGGAGAAGACUACCAUACUUUCCAUUAUGUGUUAUUUGGGGUGGGCUUAAGGAGGAAUGAAUAAACAUGCAUUUACUCCACCACCUUUAUUUAGAAGUUGCUUUGAAUUCUUACACAAGUCCGUCAAGUAGGCUCAAGUAAAUGAGUGCAAAAACCUACGUUUGUUCUUUAUGCUAAUUGCUAAUUUUCCUUUGUAUUUCUUCCUAAUUGUGUUUUUCCUACUGUGUUUCCUACUCAUCUACUUCAGCUCCCCGCUAUUACACUCCCGACCCAAAUAACCAAGAUGCCAACAAGCAAAUACGAGUCUCGGAAAAUCUUCCAUCAGUAAGUUCUACUUUAAUAUGAUUAAUUCAAUGUGAUCCUGUCCCUGAGAUAUUUAUAUCUGGAACCACAGUUCUAGUCCUAGAUGAAAGGCAACUAUCACAUAGAAAAGAAAUCCUAGGUAUCAAACAGAGGUGGAGGAUAACAUUGGAGGCAAGGGGAAUUUUCUGGAAACCUAAAAAUCAUCCCCUGGCCUAAACAUAAGAGCAGUCUGACCUUUUAUUCUUCAGUUGCAAUAUAUUCAAAAUCAGCAAAUAAUCUGUAACAUUUCCUUAGUCAUAAGCACUCUAUGAGAAAUGAGAUGUGGGAGAAUAUUUUGGCUUACUCUUCAGUACACAAAAUAAAUGUAUGUAAAAUAGUUGUAUGCAAAUAAGGAUUAUUAAGGAUUUACACAAGCCCAAUAUUCUCUCGACUAUAUUAAUAUCUUCUGAUAAGCUUGGGAAUUCUAUCAGAUUUCUUAGAAAAUCCCUCUUUGAUUAAAAAUAAGGCAAAGAAAA